CUUCCGGAUUUCUGAAUGCGUAAGUAUCCGUUUCACUUUCAAUCAAAACGAAAUUAGAGGAAUGCCUGUUUAAUGAGACGGCAAGUCCAGAACUGGACGCGUAGAUCCCGGAGCGUUCGUAACAAUGGAGUUUCGGGAGCGGUCAUUAGCCGGACGGACAAGAACCAGAUAAUAACAAUAAUAAUGGGCAGCAGUCCAAAACAUCGCGGUGGAAAACUGAAACUGAAGAAAAGCGAGAGUAAUAAAGAGGAAAAGCAGCGGCGUUAACCUAACCUUCUUUUUUGUUCGCUUCGGAAAAGUUCGAAAGGAAAGUUUGGAACGCUGACGAGGACGAGGGUUUGACAAGAGGAAAAGGGAUCGCUGCUAUUUUUCCGCCCCAUCCCGCUUGCCGAUCGCGCCAGGAAAAACGUGCGGCGGCAAGGACAUCUAGAUAAAGUGGAAAGUAGGCUGGCGGGCAAAAGGACCCAGAUUGCAGAUCCCUUGAUUGAUUUGGGAUCGCUGUGAAAAGCUGGCUUCCAUUGACAGACAGACGGGCACUUCAAGGACCUGAGGCUUCUCGAUCGGGUUAUUUGCCCAGGAUCUUGCGAAAUCCCAAGAAAGGAUCUGCAGUUCAAUAGGUGAUGCAGAACACAGCGAAUAAUUGGAUCUGG